ACUAUUGUUACAUAAGUAGAUUAACAAAGUAAAUAAAAUAAAAAAUGAAAAUAAAUAAAUAGUCAUAACAAAAAACAUAGAUACAGAAUUAAUAUGUGCUGCUGUAGAUAGGCAUCCAUUGCACAUGAAAUGUAGUUGCUCUGGUGCCUGGAUCUAUGCUUGGUUAAACAUCACCAGUCCUUGCUUCAUUAUUAUUUUAAUAAGCCAUUCCUCCAAACCCCUAAGAUGUAAUGCCAUGCCGAUGGUAGUUCAGCAGCUGGCCGAUGGUCAUUCAGCAGUUGUUCUUUCCCUUGUCUUUUCAGAAUUUCUAAUGUUUCUAUCAUUAACGCUUAGGAUUUCUUAGCUGUUGCCCUUAUUAUGCUUACCUGAUCCCAUUCUAUCUUUAUGUUGGUG
rnacentral:lncRNA from 1 species